rnacentral:rRNA from 1 species
CCUACGGGUGGCAGCAGUGAGGAAUAUUGGUCAAUGGACGCAAGUCUGAACCAGCCAUGCCGCGUGCAGGAAGACGGCUCUAGGAUUUGUAAACUGCUUUUGUACGAGGGUAAACGCAGAUACGCGUAUCUGUCUGAAAGUAUCGUACGAAUAAGGAUCGGCUAACUCCGAUCCGGCAGCCGCGGUAAUACGGAGGAUUCAAGCGUUAGCCGGAUUUAGUGGGUUUAAAGGGAGCGUAGGCGGUCGGAUAAGUUAGAGGUGAAAUCACAGGGAUCAACUUCGGAAUUGCAUCUGAUACUGUUCGGCUAGAGAGUAGGUGCGGUAGGCGGAAUGUAGGGUGUAGCGGUGAAAUGCUUAGAGAUCAGACAGAACACCGAUUGCGAAGGCAGCUUACCAAGCUACUUCUGACGUUGAGGCACGAAAGCGUGGGGAGCAAACAGGAUUAGAUACCCGGGUAGUC